GGCAGAAGGAGCGUGCUCCCAACGAUCAGGCAGAAGGAGUGUGCUCCCAAUGAUCAGGCAGAAGGGGUGUGCUCCCAACGAUCAGGCAGAAAGAGUGUGCUCCCAACGAUCAGGCAGAAGGAGCGUGCUCCCAAUGAUCAGGCAGAAGGAGUGUGCUCCCAUGAUCAGGCAGAAGGAGUGUGCUCCCAACGAUCAGGCAGAAGGAACGUGCGCCCAUGAUCAGGCAGGAGUGUGCUCCCAACGAUCAGGCAGAAGGAGUGUGCUCCCAAUGAUCGGGCAGAAGGAGUGUGCUCCCAUGAUCAAAGGCAGCCACUCCAGCCCUGGCUUUCCUUCCUCCAGAUUCCC
rnacentral:lncRNA from 10 species